rnacentral:lncRNA from 1 species
AGGGCCCAAGAGGUAGAAAAUUUCACCAAGUGUUAGGAUUUAGUCAUUUAUAAAUCCCCUAAACUUCGAUAAUUAUAUUUUAGACCUUCCUGAUAUCAGAAAGUUAAUUUUUAAGUUGAUUCAUGGUUGGGGUUGUAAAUAGAACAUCUCGGGUGACUUUCGAAAUUAUUGAAUGAGCGUAAGGGCAUGUUUGGAAGUACAAAAUAGUACCAAAAUUGGGAUAAGUCC